CCUACGGGGUGCAGCAGUAGGGAAUAUUGCUCAAUGGGGGAAACCCUGAUGCAGCGACGCCGCGUGGGGGAUGAAGUUUUUCGGUUUGUAAACUCCUUUUAUUAGAGAAGAUAAUGACGGUAUCUGACGAAUAAGCACCGGCUAACUACGUGCCAGCAGCCGCGGUAAUACGUAGGGGGCAAGCGUUACUCGGAAUCACUGGGCGUAAAGAGCGCGUAGGCGGGAGCGCAAGUCAGAUGUGAAAUCCUAUGGCUUAACCACAGAACUGCAUUGGAAACUGUUAUUCUAGAGUAUGGGAGGGGUAGGUGGAAUUCUUGGUGUAGGGGUAAAAUGCGUAGAGAUCAAGAGGAAUACUCAUUGCGAAGGCGACCUGCUAGAACAUAACUGACGCUGAUGCGCGAAAGCGUGGGGAGCAAACAGGAUUAGAUACCCCUGUAGUC
rnacentral:rRNA from 1 species